AUGGAAGAAACGUCGCUGGAGGCCGCGAUUGGGUGGCUGGUGCAGGCCAUCUAUGCCAGCCUCCUAGUUGGCGGCGAGCUCGAUGCUUGGAUUCGCCGGGCUGGGCUCGCGGAUGACAUCGAGAGGCUCAGAUCUGAGGUCGAGGGAGUCGAGAUGGUGGUCUCUGCUGUCAAGGGGAGGGCGAUCGGGAACAAGCCGCUGGCCCGAUCGCUCGCCCGCAUCAGGGAGCUGCUCUACGGCGCGGAUGAUCUGGUGGACGAGCUCGACUACUGGAGGCUCCAGCAGCAGCUGGAACUGGAAGGAGGCGCAAGGCACGACCUUGAUGAACCGAAUGCACAUGGAUCACUGCAAUUGGAAAGAUCGACUGAGAGUAGCAGUGUUGACAGAUUAGGGUCCGAGUCCUGGGGACACUUUGAUAUCGAGGAGUUCCAUGAAAAUGGAGGGCCUGGCGGAGCAAGAUGUAAACACUGUCGUGCCAUGGUUGUGUGCACAGCUGACAAGGGGACACCUGUUUUGCGCAAGCAUCUCAAGAGUAAAGGUUGUAAGAAGAAACGUGGAGCGAGUGAACCUUCAAGCACUGGUGAUGCUACUGCAAGUGCUACUUCUACUGCAACUGAUGGUAUUUCAUCCACCAGAAACAUGAGAGAGGCUGAGGUUGAGGAGCCAAAACACGGCACCAUAUCCGAGACAUACACUUGGGAUAAGGACAACUUUUCCAAUAGGAUAAAAGACAUAACUCAUCAGCUGCAAGGCAUCCGAGGAGAUGUGAGAGCGGCUCUGAUGAUACUUGGGUCAGACUCUAGCGCAAGUUCAAAUCACCAUGUAGAACAUCCACACCGUAGAACAUCAAGUCUUGUUCAGGGAAAAGUUUAUGGGAGGGAUCAUGAGAAGGCAGAAAUCAUACGGCUGGUAAAAAGACACAAAUUAUCUAGCAGUGUAACUGUUCUGACUGUUUUAGGCAUUGGUGGGGUUGGGAAGACAACCCUUGCUCAACUGGUAUACAACGAUCCAUCCGUGGAAAGUCAAUUUGACCAUAGGAUAUGGAUUUCAGUGUCCAACAAAUUUGAUGAAACGAGAAUCUCAAGAGAGAUGUUGGAUUUUGUGUCCCAAGGAACACAUGAAGGGCUGUACAGCUUUGCCAGGCUUCAGGAGGUCUUGAGAGGUUGUAUUAAAUCAAAGAGGGUUCUACUUGUUUUAGAUGAUGUCUGGGAUGACAUGAAUGAUUGCCAGUGGAACCAACUAUUAGCCCCUUUCAAUUCUGACAAUGCAAAAGGCAAUAUCAUACUUGUGACAACUAGAAAACCAUCUGUUGCAAAAAGGAGAGGUACGGUUGAACCAAUUAAGUUACCUGGUUUGAAAGAAGAUGAUUUUUGGAUAUUGUUUAAAGCGUGUGUGUUUGGUGAUGAGAACUAUGAAGUGAAAGGUAGUCUUAGGACUUUGGCAUGGCAGAUAAUAGAAAAGUUGAAAGGAAACCCGCUAGCUGCAGAAACUGCAGGGGCAUUAUUAAGACAGCAUCUUACCAGUGAACAUUGGAGUAACAUUCUGAAGAACGAAGAUUGGAAAUCCCUGCAUCUCACAAGAGGCAUUAUGCCUACUUUGAAGCUUUGUUAUGAUCAACUGCCCUACCAUUUACAACAAUGCUUCUCAUAUUGUGCUAUAUUCCCUUGCAAUUAUCGGUUUCUCGCUGAGGAGAUAGUUCGUAUUUGGAUUUCACAGGGAUUUGUGAAGUGUAGUCAUUCAGGUAUGAGAUUGGAUGAGAUAGGACGGCUCUAUCUGACUAAUUUAGUGAACCUGGGCUUCUUUCAGCAGAUUGAAGAAGGCUACUCUUCAAACAAUCAAACUACUUAUGUUAUGUGUGCUCUUAUGCAUGAUUUCGCAAGGGUAAUUUCAAGAGCUGAGUGUGCAACUUUGGAUGCUCUACAGUGCAAUGAAAUUUCAUCAACUGUGCUACAUUUGUCAAUAGUAACUGGUCGUGUGUAUUGGUAUGAUGAGAAGUUUCAAGAGAUAUUGCGAAAUACAUUGAAAAAAGUAAAAAAUUUGAGAUCAUUGGUCUUAAUUGGACAGUACGACUCCCAAUUGUUCCAACAAGUAUUUGAGAAGGCACACAAUUUGCGUCUGUUACAAGUAUCUGCAACUGCUGGGUCUCAUUCCUUCCUAUGCGGUUUGGUAAAUCCUACACAUCUUCGGUAUCUAAACCUACAGGAUGCUCAUGUUUGGCCGGAAGAUUUACCUCAAGUUUUGAGCAAGUUUCUCCACCUUCAAGUAUUAGAAGUUGGCUUAUGCCAUGAUACUUCGUUUACCCUUGAGCGGAUGGUUAAUCUAGAGGAUUGUGGUGAAAGGCUUAUAUUUCCAUCUCUGGAAAGACUUCCGUUUCUUACGACGUUCAAGUUGAGCAACCUGCGGAAAAUUAGAGAAGUAUCAGUUCCAUCAUUGCAGGAGCUGAUUUUAGUUGAAAUGCCAGAGUUGGAGAGAUGUACCUGCACUUCCCUAGGGGAUUUGAACUCUAGUUUAAGGGUACUGGAGAUUCGGAGCUGCCCUGCACUCAAGGUGUUCGAUCUGUUUGAGAAAGGUCAUAACUUUGCUGAGCAGCCGUCAUUGUUUGAAGGUCAUAACUACGGAACUGGGUGGAAGCUAUGGUUGCCCGGUCUUAGAGUACUCACAGUAAUCAAUUGUCCUCAUUUACUGAUGCCGUGUCUCCUACCACAUUCAACUAAUGUUUCUAGACUGCACAUCGACGGAGUUCCAACACUUCUGAAGAUGGAGGGAUCGUCCACAGAAAAACUAGAAAUUUCUCCAAAUAGUCGAUCUGGUGAGAAUUCCGGUGAGACAUUGAGAUUGGAUGGAAAAAUAUUGUCAUUCCAUAAUUGGGGGGACCUAAAAUCCUUGAGCAUAUCAUUUUGUGGAAACCUAACAUCUAUUUCAUUUCGAAGUCUUAAUCAGCUCUUCUCUUUAAGGGAUCUCCGUAUAGUAGGGUGCAGAAAACUUUUCUCUUCAGAUGUUCGGCCAGAGCUUACUGAUGAAUAUGCGAUAGGUGCAUAUCGGUUUGGCCUCCGGUGUCUCAGAAGUCUCUAUAUUAGUUCAUCAGGAAUAACAGGGAAGUGGUUAUCUUUGAUGUUGCAACAUGCGCAGAUCCUGAAGGAAUUGUGCUUAAAUGACUGCCCUCAGUUUACACAGUUACAGAUCGAAGAGGAAGAGAACAGUCAACCAAAUUUUAUCUCAGCCCCAGAGACUUCAUCAAGCUGGGGUCCAGAUGGACUUUUGUGCAUUCCAUUAAAUCUCACCUCCUCUCUAGAAAAGAUAGCUAUUUCUCGAAGCCCUUAUUUGAGAUUUUACGGGAACAAGGAAGACUUUGCUGGAUUUACCUCCCUGCAGGAGCUAAUAAUUCGAUGCUGUCCUGGGCUGCUCUCAUCCUUGGUGCAUAAUGACGGAAAUGAUGUCCAGGCAAACAGAAUAUGGCUUCUUCCGCAGCCACUUGGACAAGUUGUGAUCAGUCAUUAUGACCACAAAACACUAUCACUCUGCUUCAUGGGUAAUCUCACUUGUCUCAAAAAAUUGGAAGUAUUGGAAAGCCCAGGCUUGGAAUCUCUACAGCUGCAUUCCUGCACAUUGCUUGAAGAUUUGAGAAUUCGUGAAUGCAAACAGCUUGCCACAGUAAAGGGAAUGCAAUCCCUUGUGAACCUCAUGAAUUUGGAAGUACAAGAAAACCCUAGUUUGGUAUCUCUACAGUUGCAUUCCUGCAGGUCGCUGGAAGAUCUGAGAAUUGAAAAAUGUGAAUCACUCAUCGCACUAGAGGGCUUGCAAUCCCUUGUGAACCUCAGGAAUUUGGCCCUACUCAACUCCCCUGGCUUGCCUCCAUAUUUCGAACGUUUGUCGGGGCACUAUGAGCUGGGCCCUCGACUCGAAAGUCUUCACAUUGAUGACUUGUCUCUCCUUACCAUGUCACUGUGCAAUGGCCUCACUUGCCUCCAAUGCCUACGACUUGAGAAGCUGGAACAGGGAGGGACAAGACUAACAGAUGAGCAAGAGAGAGCGCUACUGCUCCUCAGGUCCCUGCAAAACCUUGAAUUUCUUGAUUGUUUCAACCUCGUACAUCUUCCUGUGAGACUGCACAGCCUUCCUUCCCUCAAGGCAUUGAGUAUCGUUUGUUGUGAUGACAUCCCAAGGCUGCCUAAGAAGGGCCUCCCAUCUUCGCUGGAAAGGCUAGUGAUAUACGAUUGCAGUACUGAGCUAAAAGAACAGUGUGAAUCGCUAACAAGAGGCAAGCUAAGGGUUGUGAUGAAUGACUGA
rnacentral:rRNA from 1 species